rnacentral:rRNA from 1 species
UAAUGCAAGUCGAGCGAAUCUUUGGGAGCUUGCUCCCAUUGGUUAGCGGCGGACGGGUGAGUAACACGUGGGCAACCUGCCUGUAAGACUGGGAUAACUUCGGGAAACCGGAGCUAAUACCGGAUAAUUCUUUUCCUCUCAUGAGGAAAAGCUGAAAGUCGGUUUACGCUGACACUUACAGAUGGGCCCGCGGCGCAUUAGCUAGUUGGUGAGGUAACGGCUCACCAAGGCGACGAUGCGUAGCCGACCUGAGAGGGUGAUCGGCCACACUGGGACUGAGACACGGCCCAGACUCCUACGGGAGGCAGCAGUAGGGAAUCUUCCACAAUGGACGAAAGUCUGAUGGAGCAACGCCGCGUGAGCGAUGAAGGCCUUCGGGUCGUAAAGCUCUGUUGUUAGGGAAGAACAAGUACCGGAGUAACUGCCGGUACCUUGACGGUACCUAACCAGAAAGCCACGGCUAACUACGUGCCAGCAGCCGCGGUAAUACGUAGGUGGCAAGCGUUGUCCGGAAUUAUUGGGCGUAAAGCGCGCGCAGGCGGUCCUUUAAGUCUGAUGUGAAAGCCCACGGCUCAACCGUGGAGGGUCAUUGGAAACUGGGGGACUUGAGUGCAGAAGAGGAAAGCGGAAUUCCACGUGUAGCGGUGAAAUGCGUAGAGAUGUGGAGGAACACCAGUGGCGAAGGCGGCUUUCUGGUCUGUAACUGACGCUGAGGCGCGAAAGCGUGGGGAGCAAACAGGAUUAGAUACCCUGGUAGUCCACGCCGUAAACGAUGAGUGCUAAGUGUUAGGGGGUUUCCGCCCCUUAGUGCUGCAGCUAACGCAUUAAGCACUCCGCCUGGGGAGUACGGCCGCAAGGCUGAAACUCAAUGA